rnacentral:rRNA from 1 species
CCCUGCCAUUUGUACACACCGCCCGUCGCUCCUACCGAUUGAAUGGUCCGGUGAAGUGUUCGGAUUGCGGCGACGUGGGCGGUCCGCUGCCCGCGACGUGGUGAGAAGUCCACUGAACCUUAUCAUUU